ACAUCGAUCGUUCAGUGGCAGAGCGGUGGGGCGUUUAUCCAUGCGGCCCGGGUUCAAGCCCCGGUCGAUGCA